UCUUCCUGUAGAGUACACAUGAAAAGCAGUGCUUCCAAUCGUUUAUAAGCAAAUGGAAUGUCAACCAACAUUUUUAGAAAUCGUUCAGCAUUCCCUAGUUGAGAAAGUUCACCACUGUACAGCCUAAGCUUCAGCUCUUCAUCUGCUGUAGGUGCCAUUUUCAACAAAGUCUGAAGGAGUUCUAUGGGAAGUUCAUUUCCUUCAUGAAGUGCAUCACAGACUUCUUCUAUUGUAACAUUCA
rnacentral:misc_RNA from 1 species